AAGAAAUGUAAAAAAUGUUUUACAUACCUUCUAAACAUAACCCUUUAGGAGGUAAAACGUUUAAAAGUGCUGUUUAAAAGAAUUGUGUGUUUUGUUUCAACUAUAAACAAGUUUUUGGAAAAUGGCUCGUCAACGAGGAUACUUACACAGAACUGUCGCCAAAUACACAAGCUUUUGUCUAUGCUUUGACAUCCUGUGUCCCCACUGGCUGACAGUCAAGUCGUGUACAUUUAUCACCUCUGUAACACUGUUUGAUCUGAAUGUGUGAUCUUUCCUGGCAGUUGUCUGUCUGUGUGAGACAGAGACGUGUGAUUUCUGGGGGUUUUGCUGACCGGAAUGCUUACAAAUGUGCUUAUGUUAACGAAUUAAGGAGAGAGUCAUACGUCUCAGUGCUUAAAUAAUGAUUAAGACGUUGUAGUUAAAACACAGAAGAAACUCUGCAACUAUCUGUUACAAUGGCUGCUCUGAGAAAUCUUAAUACCCCUAGAAGAACGCUGUGUAUUCACCAACAAGAGGACCUGUUUAAAUGAGAGAGGACCUGACUUCUGCUCCAAGAAAAAAAAAAAACAAGAUGUUAGUUUGACAAUUUAUCCAUGAAGAUAUUGUAAAGACGUUGUUUAACCCUGAGCAGGGCGUCGACAACUCCGAGCAUCAUCUCUUAAGUCCAAGGGUUCUUUAGUGUCACAUAUCGGGAAGCUCUGGACUCCAUUUCCCAUCAGCCACUGCACUGCACUAGUUGUCACAUGACCACCUGCACCUUAUUCACGUUUUGGUUAAUGAGCACUCGUGUAUAUAUAGUCCGUGUCUGCACUGUUUGCUUGUCUUUCGUUGUCUUAGACCCCUGUGUUCCAUGUUUCUUGAUCCUGUUAGUUUAUGUUUAGUUUUGCCACAGUAUUCUACCAAGUAGUCUUAGAUUCAUGUUGUUUAUGUCUCAGUGUUUGUUUCUUGCCACAGUGUGUUUCCCAGUUGUCAUAGUGUAUUUGUUUCUUAGUACGUUUCCUUCAAUAAAUUAUCUGCACCUGCUUCUGGCUCAACCUCGAAUUGUGACAGAAUGAAAGACCAACAAUCAGAAGCAGCAGAUCGCCUCCACGAUGGAAGCAGCAGGAGAACGGAGGAGACGCAGAACCCGAAGGUCGACGCCAACCGUCCCCGCUAUAGACUCCGUCCACUUCCCACAAUGGACAUUUAUGGAGCUUCCGGACCCAUUUGACGGAUUUUUCGGUGCCCCAGAGUAUUUCCUGGUAGACUGUCAAUACUAUUUCGCCAGCCUGUUAGACCCUAAGCCAGAGGAGAAGCAAUGGCUCCGAUUUAUGUGGUCCCGGUUCUUUGGACCGGCCCGUCAAUGGGUGCAGCUCAAACUGGAGAAGCACUGCAGGAACCUGGACGGUGUAGAACAGUUUGUGGGGGAUUUCAUGUUGCGAUUCGGGAGUCCGGAGGCGAAGGAGGAGCUAGAACAACUUCUCAGGGGGGUAAGUCUGGAAGGCGAACCUGCCCUGCCGUUUACCCCCUACUACAGGCAACGUCAUACAGAGCUCAACCCCGAGAUCCAAGCCAAGCCUCCAGUCAGGAAAGUCCAAGUUCCAGUCAAGUCUCAUGUCCCUGAGGUCCAAGUCCCAGUCAAGUCUCAAGUCCCUAAGGUCCAAGUCAAGCCUCAAGUCCCUGAGAUCCAGGUCAAGCCUCCAGUGCCUGAGAUCUCAGUCAAGCCUCCAGUGCCUGAGCUCCAGGUCCAGCCUCCGGUCCCUGAGCUCCAGGUCCAGCCUCCGGUCCCUGAGCUCCAGGUCCAGCCUCCAGUCCCUGAGCUCCAGGUCCAGCCUCCAGUCAGGAAGGUCCCAAGCCAAACCUCGCGUCCCUGAGGUCCAAAUCAAGUCUCGAGUCCCUGAGUUCACGUUCAGGCCUACUGACCCAAAUGACCAAAUGCUGCUCACACCCAAGUCUACCGACCCGGUCGCCCAAGUUCAGCCCACGCCCAACACUGCCGACACGCCCAGCCAAGUUCCGCUCACGCCCAGCCAAGUUCCGCUCACGCCCAGCCAAGUUCCGCUCACGCCCAGCCAAGUUCCACUCACGCCCAGCCAAGUUCCGCUCACGCCCAGCCAAGUUCCGCUCACGCACAGCCAAGUUCCGCUCACGCACAGCCAAGUUCUGCUCAUGCCACAGUCUGCUGACAUGCACAGCCAAGCUCCGCUCACGCCCCAGUCCGCCGACACGACCAGCCAAGCUCCGCCUAUGCCCAAGGUUCACCUAGUGACCUCAGAGCCUCAGUCUCCCUGUUCAGCUGUGGACGUCGCCCAGCCUCCCUGCUCAGCUGUGGACGUCGCCCAGCCUCCCUGCUCAGCUGUGGACGUCGCCCAGCCUCCCUGCUCAGCUGUGGACGUCGCCCAGCCUCCCUGCUCAGCUGUGGACGUCGCCCAGCCUCCCUGCUCAGCUGUGGACGUCGCUCAGCCUUCCUGCUCCAUGGCAGAUAGCGUUCCCCUCUUCUGCUUCGAGGAGACCCACGCUCCUCUUCCUGGCCGCACGGAGACCCACGCUCCUCUCCCUGGCCUUACAGGGGACUUCGCUCUGCCUUCCAGUUCAGCUGGGGACGUCGCUCCACUUUCGUGUUCCACCGAGUACAGUGCUCUGUUUCCCUGCUCGGCCGAGGUCGUCGCUCUUCUUUCCUGCUCGGCCGAGGUCGUCGCUCUUCUUUCCUGCUCCGCCGAGGACGUCGCUCUGCCUUCAUGCUCCGCCGAGGACGUCGCUCUGCCUUCAUGCUCCGCCGAGGAUGUCGCUCUGCCUUCAUGCUCCGCCGAGGACGUCGCCCUGCUUUCAGGCGCCGACGAGGAUGUCGCCCUGCUUCCCUGCUCUGCCGAGUACAGCGCUCUGUUUCCCUGCUCUGCCGAGGACGUCGAUCUGCCUUCCUGCUCGGUUGAGGUCGUCACUCUGCCUUCCUGCUCCGCUGAGGAUGUCGCUCUGCCUCCAUGUUCCGCUAAAGACGUCGCUCCUUUUCUUCGCUUCUCUCAGUGUGUCGCUCCCCCUUCCUGCUCCACGGAGGACAUCGUUCCCCCUUCCUGCUCCACGGAGGACAUUGCUCCUCUCCCGGGCCUCGCGGAGAACCUCGCUCCUCUCCCGGGCCUCGCGGAGAACCUCGCUCCUCUCCCUGGCCUCGCGGAGAACCUCGCUCCCCUCUCCUGUCCCGUGGAGGACAUCGCCCCGCUUUCACAUUCAGCUGAGGUCGUCGCUCAGACUUCCCGUUCAGCUGAGGUCGUCGCUCAGACUCCCCGUUCAGCUGAGGUCGUCGCUCAGACUCCCCGUUCAGCUGAGGUCGUCACUCAGCCCGCCUGUUCGGCUGAGGUCGUCGCUCAGCCCGCCUGUUCAGCUGAGGUCGUCGCUCAGCCCGCCUGUUCAGCUGAGGACGUCGCUCGAACUUCCAGUUCAGCUGGGGACAUCGCUCCGUUUUCAUGCUCUGCCGAGGACGUCGCCCCGCUUUCAUGCUCUGCCGAGGAAAUAUCUCAGCCUCACUGUGCCAUUGUAGAAGCCGCCCGGCCUCCUGGUUUUGCGGGGGACAUUUUCUCCAGGGGGCCAGGACCACCAGAUGGAGGACGUAUAAUUUUGGGCGCUCCGGGAGUAGCGCCCUUGGGGGAGGGUUCUGUCGCAUAUCGGGAAGCUCUGGACUCCACUUCCCAUCAGCCACUGCACUGCACUAGUUGUCACAUGACCACCUGCACCUGAUUCACGUUUUGGUUAAUGAGCACUCGUGUAUAUAUAGUCCGUGUCUGCACUGUUUGCUUGUCUUUCGUUGUCUUAGACCCCUGUGUUCCAUGUUUCUUGAUCCUGUUAGUUUAUGUUUAGUUUUGCCACAGUAUUCUGCCAAGUAGUCUUAGAUUCAUGUUGUUUAUGUCUCAGUGUUUGUUUCUUGCCACAGUGUGUUUCCCAGUUGUCAUAGUGUAUUCGUUUCUUAGUACAUUUCCUUCAAUAAAUGUCAUUAUCUGCACCUGCUUCUGGCUCAACCUCGAAUUGUGACAUUUAGGAGGUAGAAAAACAUUUAAAGAUGAUGUUUUAAAAGAAACGAGUGUUUCGUCCAUAACAGUAAAAAAGAAAAAUAGUUGUACUCCGACGCGAAAUAAAUUGGUCAAGACACACUGAGUACAUUUCUGUUCCACAGUCUAUCACAGGCAAAGAGCACGAUGGCAUGGAAAAAGUAUACAGGAGUAAUUGGGGUGAUCUAAUGAUUAGGAGUUCUACAGUACUUCGACUUGGGAACAUUCAAACAUGGCCCUCAGAGAGGCAUUAUCUAAGCGACGUAUAUAUUAUAUAGAUCACAUCACCAGUAUGUCUUUACCCACUCCUGAUCUGGAGUCAAAAUUAUUACUUUUUAUUUCCUCGUAUGGGUUUAUGACAGUGAGCAGUCAUAUACACUACAAGCCAAAGAUAUAGAAGCAGGCAAAUAAUUUUUAAAGGUUCCAAAUUAAUUGAACAGUUAAGGCAUAUUUCCAACAGAACAGAAUAUUAGACAUUUACUGUAAACUAGUGUAAAAAAAAUUAUAUGAAAUAUUUCAGUGAAAAUAUUUUUCCAUAUUAAA
ensembl:lncRNA